GUAGCUCAGCUGGAUAGAGGAACUGUCUUCUUAGCAGUAGAUCUCAGGUUCGAAUCCUGAC
rnacentral:tRNA from 1 species